CCGGGCUGUAAAUUGGUCGACCGGUCUGGUCUGGCACCAUCAGUUUCACUGUUGCACUGUAGUGGGGUGAAAGAUUGAAGUACCGGAAGGGGCCCGAAGUACCUAUAAAAGCCAUGUGGCCCGACCAUGGGUUCGUGUAAUUCACUACAAUACCGUCCAGCUGGUAUAAUGGAAGACAGGACAAUUUGCUGCCGUCACUGCUGAUAGAUCGCAACAAUAAAUAACAUCCAUGCGCGGAUAUAAGUAGGUGUUUUUGUUUUUGUUUUUAUUAAGGCGAUAGGGGCAAUCUAAAUCCGUGCCUAGACUUUAAAAAAGCAGACUAUACAUCUAAAAUUUCAGUUGCUAUAUGUAGUACAGUAGCGUCAUCUUCCAUGUAUAUAUUUACCUUCGUUUGAUACCGUGCGCAUAUGGUGUCGAUUUUUAUAUUAUUAUUAUUAUUUCUUUUCUUUUUUUUACCAAAGAUCCACAGGGGUUUUUUUUCUAUCAAAUUUAGAUAACGUUAUUCUUAUCGAGUCUUACCGACCCCCCGCCACGGGCUUCGAGCCUGCGGCGCUCGCGGUGUCGGGCUUCUCCUGACACCUCGACCCCCCCUGCAAAAUUUCCUGCGCACUCCCUGGUGUUAUUAGCUUUCACGUAUUAGAAUUAAUUGAUAAUUUGCACAUAGAUGGAAUAUAAAAAUAAAACGAGGUUUUCAGAGUACUGGCGCUAUUGGUGAACAAACAACGCCGUUAUACAAUUCACACACCUGUAUCCCGAAGCCUGCUCUCUGACAGUUUAUCGUUCACACACAUUUCGGUAGAAGCCAAUUUAAAGCUCGUUUCUAAAAAUUAUUGUUUAUUUUUCGAGCAACGUUUUGUCAUAUUUUCAAAUUAUCAACGAAUAACUAUUAAAGAACAUCAAUUAAUGUUAAAUAUAUUAACAAUUAACGACAAUACAGUGGUAAUGGCAUUUGGGCGACGGCAUUUACUGUCGCCCAAAUGCUACUGGUUCCCAAAGCCCGCUGUGUGACGGAAUUUUCGUAUAAACUGUAGCCCGA